rnacentral:other from 1 species
AUCUGGCUCAGCCAAUCGUUUUCCGAUCGAUACUUUUAUAUCGAGGGAUAAUUUGAUUUAUUUACCGUGUGCACGCUUGCCUUCUCGUGAGCAAGAAGCCUGAAGUAGAUAGACUUAAAUCCACCUGGAUCGUUGGAUCAGGAAAUAAGGCUGGGCUAGAUC